CCGGAAAAAUGCUAUUUUUAAGUGAUUUGUGAUAUUUUGUAUGCACAUUCCUCUCCCCUCCCCAAAGUUUCUGCUUAAGAUAGUGUAUUGAACUGAGGUAAGAAGGGUAAUAGGGUAGGUCUAUGGAUAUAGGAGUGUCUGAAUUUUAAAAUGUUAAAUGUACUGCCCUGUUCCAAAUUAUUCAAAGUAUGGUGGAUUCAUGGACUAAAAAUCGAGACUUCUAAUUAGCAUUUUUAUCAUAUAAAUACUACUCAGAUGAAAACAGUUUUGAAUUCUGUAGAUAUAUCCAAGUUUAAAGCUGGCAUAAUCCAGAGGUCAUCUAGAGCUUCAUGAGAGAGAUUUUGCUGUUUUUUCCCCCCAGCUCUUCUAAGUCUGGAAGUUUGGGCUCCAGGCCAUCUAAGUCCACCAUAAGAAAUUAGAUUGGGCAUGUAGGAGAGAGACCCAAGAAAGUGGCUUAUAGAUCUCUGAAUACAUGUGAUGCUAUUAAAAAUGAUAAUUAAAUUUUCUGAAGUAUCUAAUACAAUCCCAAUUAGAAAAUGUAAAUAUAAACUUAUACCUCUGUAAAAUUGAAUGCUCAUGGGAUAAAAGAAUGAUUAUAUUGAGGUAUUAGGAUUAUAGGUGAAUUUUUUUCCUUUCUUAGACAUCCUCUACAUUGCUAUGUUGUUUUUGUAAUUAGAAAAGAAGGAAAAAAGAAAACUUGUUCUUAUUUCCACUGUCCAAAAUUGGCUGUUUUUUUAAAGUCUGGUCUUCUGAAACCAGGAUCUCAGGGUAAAUCACAGAGAAGUAACUCCCAAUUUAGCCUGGCUGUCAAAGUGACAAAAGCCAAAAAGGAUUCCUCGUACUUGGAUGAUGAGUUUUUUGUGGGUUUUUUGGGGAGAUUGGAGAGGGUGGUUGAUAGGGAAUAUAACAUUGUAUAAUAGUAUCUAAAACAUUAUCUCAUGGAGUACCAAGUCUAAUAAGUUUAUUUUCUAGGCAAUCCCCAUACACUAGGUCUGUUAAUGUUCCACACCCAACAAUGCAUUGUUAACAAUUACCACUUUACCAUCUGUGGUUGUUUCCUCAUGUUGUUACAGCUUUGCUCACGUUCACCUCUGGUGCUGUUGUUGGCAAUUACACAUAAAUUGCACUUCUAUAUAUGUUACAGGCCCAAUAGUAGGUUACAGUUGGCCUUUAACACAAGUAUGAACUAUAGAAGUCUAUAUGUAGAUCUGUAUGCAGAUAUUUGCAAUGAAUACAGUACAAUAACAUUAUUUUACUUAUGAUUUUAUUUACCAUUGGUUUCUUAAUUUUUGCUUAAUUUAUUUGAGAGCGAGAGAGCACACAAGCAAGGGGAACAGCAGAGGGAGAAGGGAUCCUGGUGCAGGGUCCCAUCCCCAGGGCUUAUGACCUAAGCUGAAGUCAGAUGCUUAACCAACUGAGCAACACACAGGUGCCCCUUAUUUAACAAAUUUCCUAAUAACCUUUUCAUUUCUAGCUUACUUUACUGUAAAUAUGUAAGGUAUAUGUACUACCUAUAAAAUAUAUGUUAAUCAACUUACUUGGUAAGGUUUUGGUUAAUAGCAGGUUGUUAAAUUUUGGGGGAGUCAAAAGUUAUAAGGGGAUAUUUGUGUAGGGGGGCAGUACCCCAACCCCAUGAUGUAUAUGGGUGAACUGUAUAUACAUAAUUUACAAAAUUACUUUUUAAUUCAUUUAAGAAAAGAAGUGGGAAAAAUAUGCAUUUAUGUAAUGGUGUUCUCUGGUCCUGUGGAUUUGUGUUACUGUCUGACAUCACUUGCUUUCACUCUGAAGAACUUCCUAGAAUAUCUUGUAAGAUGAGUUGGCCUGACAACAAAUUCUUUCAGUUUCUGUUUACCUGGGAAAGUCUUUAUUUCACUUUCAUUUUUUUAAGAAUAUGUUUGCUGGAUAUCACAGUCUUGGCUGAUAGUUUUUGUUUGUUUGUUUGUUUUUUACCAAUUUGAAUAUUUUCCCACUGCUUUCUGGCUUCCAUUGUUCCUGCUGAGAAGUCAGCUUUGGAUCUUACUGGGCUUCCUUGUAAGUGAUACUUUGUUUUUCUCCAGCUUUUCCCAAGAUAUUUUCCUUAUGUUUGAAUUUCAGCCUUUUUACUCUUCAUUGGGCUUCCUGGGUGGCUUAUUAUUUUUCAAUAAAGUUGGGAUGUGUUUUGCCAUUUUUCAAAUAUUAUCAUCUUUCUCUCCCAGUAUUCUCAGUUCAAGGGCUGCAAGGAUUAUAAAUUUGGUCAUCUGCUCUUAAUUACUGGGCCCCAGGCUGCUUUGCUUUUCAGGUUCCAGUGUUUGCUUUGUAGUUUUCUCUGUUGGCCUUUCACACUGUUGACUGCCACUGCUUGCUUCUGUGAGCUUAUUUCUUCUACUCUAACUUGGUAUUUCUCUGUUUCUACUCCAUUAUCUAGGAACCAGAUAUAACAACUACUUAAAGUAUGUCUAAAUAAAGAGCAACAUGGCUCUGCUUUUGAAACUCUGAAAGACCAUGCUCUGAGCUACAGUCUGACAGCCAAGACCAAGGCUACCCUACCCUGAGGUCGUGGUCCCGGGAUCCUGGGAUCCAGCCCCGCAUCGGGCUCCCUGCUCAGUGGGCAGCCUGCUUCUUCCUCUGCCCUUUUUCUGCCCUAAGGAAUCAUAGAUGGUCCACAGUUUGGAUGAAGAAUUGCAGACACAUGAGAAGUGGUGAAGGAAAUGAGGAAUGGGGUAAAAUGUGCAUCCCAAGAAGAGAAGACAUCAUGUUUGAAAGCCCUGAACUCAACAAGAAUGCUGUGUGUUUAAGAAACCAACGGAAUCCCACCCAACACAGGGAUGAAAGGCAAGCUUUGACUUCAAGUGCAGUUUCCUGUACCCAUCAGUGAUGGAGAAGUGAUACAGCUGACAGUAUUACAUGUGAGUAAGCCAAAGGUAUCUCAUAGCAAUCUUCUGGCUCAUAUCCUCUUACUUUCUUCGUAUUUUAAAUGAUUUGCAGUUUUUUUUUUUUUUUAAGAGAUCCAUUUUAUUUUCUUGUUGAGUUCCUGUUGAUCUGCUUAUCUCUGAUAUCCUGAAGACUUUGCUUUUUUCUCCCUGCCCCAGCUCUUCCAGUCUGGGGAAUUGAUAAAUGACAAUGUUGGGGCCAUAGGGGGAGAGACAGGCCUUAAGAGGUGCUGUAUAAAUCAUCAAAAUGUGAUGUACUAUACCUUCUCGGCAUAAACUGGAAAUUAAAAAAAAAAAAAAAGUGCUGCAAAUAGAAUUGCUUUCUUUGGGCUUAAACCGGAUUGGCAGCAACAGAGAUUCUGCUGUGGGCUGAAGUCAUUUUCUACUUUGGCACUACUCAGUCCAUGGGGAAUGGUGGAGUCAUGAUUUAGCAGCAAGGUUUUGGGAGCAGGCCAGCAUCUACAUCUGUUCUGAACUGUCAGUGGACUGGAAAAAUGCUUGAAAAAAAGCCAGAGGACAGAGGUAAAGGAGAACACAAAACCUUUAAUCUGAAAAAAGGCCACAAAAAUGGCUUGAUCAAUUACAAGGAGAUUGGAUUUAGA